ensembl:lncRNA
GAGAAACAGGAGCGGAGCCUCAGGGGACAUUUCCUGGGGAGGAGGCCCAGGGGAGGUGGAGGAGGCCCUUGGGCAGGCUGGGACUGGCCAGGACACCACAGGGUUGCCAGGUGACAGACAACAGCGUGCCGAGCAGCUCCGGGGUGCACUGUGCCUCCUCCCAGGGAGGUUCCUCUCCGUGCCCCCCGGCCAUCACAGCGCAGGCAGCUGAGCCCGGCUGCAUCCCGCUUGGGACGUUCACUCUGAAGCGUAAUGAGGACCUUGAGCCUUCUGGAGCAGAGCCCUGCAACCCGGGGCACCCCAUCCCUGUCCCCCCCGCAGCAGCGCAGUGCUGGGACGUAUGGCAGAGCCUGCAGUGCCUCUCCUGACACUGUCGAUGUCCGUGGGACGGCCGUGGCUCCCGCUGAGGGCAGAGCUCCGGCUGCAGAUCCCAGCUUGGGAGGCUCCAGAUUUGCUGCUCCCCACGCAGGGAUGGUGGAACGCGGAGCGUGGAGCUGCUGGGGGCCACAGUGGGGCAGCAGGAGCAGCUCCAGCUCUGUGUGCACCGAGGAUGUGGCUGCCAGGUGUCGGGAGGGCACAGUGGGGACCUCCGAGGAGGAGGAGGAUGGCAGCGGGCAGGAUGGGGCCCCGCUCCCGUGGCAGUGCCCCUGGCAGGACAUGUCCCCAGGGCUGAUGAGGAGGGGGAGUCUGGAGUCGCUGGGAGCCAGGAUAUCCAGGCUGAGCCAGAGUGGGGCUGUGACCCCCUGCCCGGCCCCCUCCGGGCACCCAGCGCAGGGCAGGGGGGAUGCAUCCCACUGGGGCUCACGCUCCAGGGCAAAGCCCUCAGUCACCACUGUGCAUGGUGGGGAUGGGGACGCUGGACAUCUCCGGAGACCCUCAGGCAGCUCAGCCAGCAGGAGCAGGGCCAGGGCCAUGGGACACUGCAGAUGGCAGGAGCCACCAGCACGCCGGGGGUGGCAUGGAGGGGACGUCACCCUCACUGCAGAGAAGGAAGGAGAUGGCGACGGGCGGAGGAGAGCUCUCUGCACCAAAGCAGCAGUGGGACCCACCAGGAGAUGCAGCCCCUGGGCAGAGGGGCAGCACGAGGUGUCCUGCCCAGGGCAUGCAGCCAAGCCCCGGUGGCAGCGCUGGAAGCAGAAGGCCGUCCUGUCCCAUAGGCUGGCAGCGCUGCGCCGGGCCCUGAGGAGCAGCCAGGAGGGGAUGCAGGAGCCAGGAGCUGGAGCUCAGGGCAUGCAGAGCGAUGGGGAUGGGGCCAGGGCGCGUGCGUGGGAUUGUGUGGAUGUGGAGGAGGUGCAGGGGCAGAAGGGCUGUGCUGAACACCCAGGGAAGGUGAGGAGGAAAACGUUGGAUCUCAGAGAAGAGAAGAGGGAGCUGCAGGAGAGGCUCUGUGGACUGGAGCUCCAGAUGCUCUCCAUGCUGCGGCAGAGGCAGGAGGCCCUGGGGCAGCUGCGGGCAGUGCUGCAGAAGGAGAGGAUGGCCACACUCAGGCGGCUGCAGGAGAGCCUGGAGAAGGUGAAUGGGACCAUCUGUGUCUGUCAGAACUGUCACCCAGAGGAGCUGCCAGCCCCAGGAGCCCUGAAGGAGCCACUGACCCCAGAGAGAGCCCUGCGGGAGGCAGCGACGUGUGUGUGGGAUCCAGCCCGGCCACCAUCUCCUUCCCCUUCUACACCUGGGUUGAGCCAUGCCACAGGUGCACAGAGAAGGGGUGAGCACCUGUGCCACCGCUCAGCCUCUUCCCUGCCCCCAAGCACUGUGCCCUGCCUCCAGCAGCAACACCACACGGCGCUGGGGGUCCUGCACCACAUCCAGCGCUGCCUGCGGGAGCUGCAAGUAGAGGACCUCGGUGUGCUGGGAGCAGAGCUGGGCACCACAGCAAAUGAGGAGAGGUUCCUGAUGCCACCUCUUGACAUUCCUCCAAGCCCCAACAGGAACAAGCUCGCUGCUGCGACCAGGACUCGAGAUGAAGCAUGGAGGUGGUGAUGCAUCCCUCUACCUCCCUAUGCAUACCCAGGUCGACCAGUUGUGAAGCUGCUGAACGGGUCCCACGGAAUUUCCCAUGUAGAAGCUUCUCUUAGGUCCUGGCUGGGCUCCUUCCAAGGGCUGGGGACCGCGGGACAGCAUUUUGGGUGCGAUGGGUGAGGUCACGUGCCUCCACCAGGCUGCUGUCCAAGGUCCUGCCGGGAGAACCUGGAUUCCCAACCAGCAUCUUUGCUCCUCACACUCAUUUAGGAGCUUGGAAUGGAGAGGUCCAUGUUGCAGGGGUGGUCGCUCAGUGGGGUGGGAAUGAAGGUUUUGGGUUGGGGUGAGAUAUGGAGAAGUAGAUGGGGAGUAAGGGCUGGGGGAAAUCUCGUGCCUUCCCAGGUCUGGUUGGCUGGGCCACGCACAUCGGGAGUGCUUUGGGAUGGCUGUGGGCAGAAACACUUCAGGAAAAAAAGAAGUUUAAAAAUGAGGAAUUGUUCUACUUAGGAGCUCUCAAAUAAUUUUAAAGAGGAGAAACCUAUUUCUCAGUCUUCACACAUCUCAAUGGAGAAAAUGCUGUUUUUAAUUUGCAGGAGAAUGCCCAAGGAGAGUUUCUCUGCAUGCGAGGGGGGAAAUGAGAAUUUCAUGCAGUACUGAUUGCUGCACUUCCUUGCUGGAGGAGGCAGGGAGUGAAAAUGGAAAUCUUUGUCUGCUUUCUUCCCAAUCAAAAUAAAAAUGUUCCUCAUUAUAUUUUUCUGGACUGGGGAGAUUUCUGAAUUUACUUCUGAUGCACAGCUCUGUUUGUAAGCUCCCUUUAGGUAGUGGAAGGCCACAGUGAGGUCUUCCCAGGUCCUUCUCUUCACCAGGAUACCCAAAAAUGUGAUUUUUCUGCCUUACCUCAUGCUUGCAACCUUUGGGAUGCUGAUGCAACCUUGAAAUCACCCAGUGUAAUACAAGUCCCUAUGGAAGGCAAUGCAAGACCCUUGAAACAGGUGUUGUUUAACAUACCUAAAACUGGAUGAAAUACUCCGUGC